GUUUGAUCCUGGCUCAGAACGAACGCUGGCGGCAUGCCUAACACAUGCAAGUCGAACGAGACCUUCGGGUCUAGUGGCGCACGGGUGCGUAACGCGUGGGAAUCUGCCCUUGGGUCCGGAAUAACUCAGAGAAAUUUGAGCUAAUACCGGAUGAUGACGUAAGUCCAAAGAUUUAUCGCCCAGGGAUGAGCCCGCGUAGGAUUAGCUAGUUGGUGAGGUAAAGGCUCACCAAGGCGACGAUCCUUAGCUGGUCUGAGAGGAUGAUCAGCCACACUGGGACUGAGACACGGCCCAGACUCCUACGGGAGGCAGCAGUGGGGAAUAUUGGACAAUGGGCGAAAGCCUGAUCCAGCAAUGCCGCGUGAGUGAUGAAGGCCUUAGGGUUGUAAAGCUCUUUUACCCGGGAUGAUAAUGACAGUACCGGGAGAAUAAGCCCCGGCUAACUCCGUGCCAGCAGCCGCGGUAAUACGGAGGGGGCUAGCGUUGUUCGGAAUUACUGGGCGUAAAGCGCACGUAGGCGGCUGUUCAAGUCAGAGGUGAAAGCCCGGGGCUCAACCCCGGAAUAGCCUUUGAAACUAGACAGCUCGAAUCAUGGAGAGGCGGGUGGAAUUCCGAGUGUAGAGGUG
rnacentral:rRNA from 1 species